rnacentral:lncRNA from 1 species
AUGUCAUGUUAUUCCAAGACGUUCUCACUUUGCCACCACCUUCAUCCACCCCCCGCUUGCCAUCUUGAAGGAGGGCUGUGGAGCGGCCGGGGAGGCGGGCUGCGGUGCCACCGUGGUCUGGGGGGCUGCAUCGCUGCCCUGCCCCCUGGGCGAGUGGAGGGGUGGGCACUGAGCCGGGAGCCCGGCUUCGAGCUCCGUGGGGCACCGAGCCUGGCCACGCUUCCUUGGCACGCUUCCCUAUGCAAAACGGGGAGGGGCUGUGCUCCCCAAGCCCCGCUGCCAUCAGACUUGCCGCAGAAGAACACAAAACCAAACAGGCUCUCGGGCUGCACCACGAGACACUUCAGGGAGCCAGAGGGGACACCAGGUGCUGUCCUGCAGGAAACGGAAUUCCCCACACACGGUUCAACGGGACAGAGGAAUGGAGGGGCUGCUGACAGAGGUGGGUGGCAUCUGGGGGACCGGAAAGGAUCACGAGGCUCUGCGAUGACAGGCGAUGCUGGCAUCCCACACCUAAGGAGGCAGGGGCACACAGAGGAGAGCUGGAGGAAAGAGGGGCUGCCUCCCAAGAGCGCAGUCACAGAGGGAGGGGGCCAUUCCCGGGGCCACAGCAUCACGGCGGGGAGAAGCAAAGGAGAAAAAGACCCAUCUUUCUCCUCCCACCUUCCCUUCUCAUUCUGGUACCUUCCAUCGGCCAAGCCCAGGCUGCAGCCAGAAGCCCCAGCAGCCCCGAGAGGUCCCCCUCCUGGGGCACAGAGAAGGGCAGAGAGGGUUUUGCAGGGUGCAGGGUGGGUAGGAAGCAAGCAGAGAGCACCCAGCUACUCAGGCAGCCCGGCAACCUCCCAGCAACUCCACACCCCCGCCUGCCCCUCUCCACUCCGCGGGGUUCGGGGGGGGGGGUGCCCGUGCCCCACACAGGCGUCGGAAGCCGGGCUUGCAGCCCCAUCUCUGCCACAAGCUCAAAGGACACCGGCAGGAAGUCACCUCCCCGCCCCGGGCCCUGGUCUCCGCAUCUGCAAACCCUACAGGCUACAGGAGCCAUCCCUCUGCAGGCCUGACCUGAGAUGUUCCUUGCCCUGCCUCUUCUAG